UACGUAGGGGGCAAGCGUUGUUCGGAAUUACUGGGCGUAAAGCGCGUGUAGGCGGUUUGGUAAGGCGGGCGUGAAAUCCCCGGGCUCAACCCGGGAUCCGCACCCGCGACUGCCAGGCUGGAGUGCGAGAGGGGAAAGCGGAAUUCCCGGUGUAGCGGUGAAAUGCGUAGAGAUCGGGAGGAACACCCGUGGCGAAGGCGGCUUUCUGGAUCGCAACUGACGCUGAGACGCGAAAGCUAGGGGAGCAAACAGG
rnacentral:rRNA from 2 species